rnacentral:rRNA from 1 species
AGAGGGGGCAAGCGUUAUUCGGAAUUAUUGGGCGUAAAGGGCGCGUAGGCGGCUUUGCAAGUGGCGGGUGAAAUCCCUCGGCUUAACCGAGGAACUGCCUGCCAGACUGUGAGGCUUGAGACCGGGAGAGGUGAGUGGAAUUCCCAGUGUAGCGGUGAAAUGCGUAGAUAUUGGGAGGAACACCAGUGGCGAAGGCGGCUCACUGGACCGGAACUGACGCUGAUGCGCGAAAGCGUGGGGAGCAAACAGGAUUAGAUACCCUGGUAGUCCACGCCGUAAACGAUGAGUGCUUGGUGUAGCGGGUAUCGACCCCUGCUGUGCCGACGUCAACACAUUAAGCACUCCGCCUGGGGAGUACGGUCGCAAGACUG